rnacentral:rRNA from 1 species
CUCCUACGGGAGGCAGCAGUCGAGAAUUUUUCUCAAUGGGGGAAACCCUGAAGGAGCGACGCCGAGUGGAGGAUGAAGGCUUUCGGGUUGAAACUCCUGUCAUUUGAGAUUUAGUGUGGGCAAGUAACUAGUGCCUACUUGAUAGUAUCAGAAGAGGAAGAGACGGCUAACUCUGUGCCAGCAGCCGCGGUAAUACAGAGGUCUCAAGCGUUGUUCGGAUUCAUUGGGCGUAAAGGGUGCGUAGGUGGCGCUGUAAAGUCGGGUGUGAAAUUUUCGGAGCUUAACUCCGACACUGGAUUCGAUACUGGAGUGCUUGAGGACUGGAGAGGAGACUGGAAUUUACGGGUGUAGCAGUGAAAUGCCGUAGAGAUCGUAAGGGAAGACCAGUGGCGAAAGGGGGGUCUCUGGACA